rnacentral:misc_RNA from 1 species
AUACAAAUUAGAUGAUGGUGAAAGAAAUCUAAUGAUUUUUUCCCCUCAAGACAAAUCCAGCCUGCGAGUGGCUUCAAGGAGAACAGAUUAUUGAAUUUACAAUAAUCUCAAUCAAUGGAACUUCAUCUCAUUUGGUUUGCUGCCCCUAAACGCUGAAAGAGAGAAGAAGGACCUUGUUGCUUUAGUUGUAGAAGCUGCUGUUGAAACAUGGCCCUUGUGCAACUUAUGUGAACUUUGGACUUCAAAUUUGCUGGAGUUUGAUUGAGCAGAGAGAAGUUCAUGAGGAUCUAUAUCUUUUUCAUGGCCCGCAAAGAAAUUAGUAUUUUGCUGUCCAUUAUUCUUUGAAUGAAUUGCUGCCUUUUUCAGCAGGUUGUCAGUGCUUCUCUUACUGAUGGCUUUAGAUUCCUCAGCAUCAUCCUCUCCUUCAGAAAAUACAGAUGGGCUAGAGAAACCUGUUAAAUUUGCAUCCCCUUUACUCUUCCGGGCAAAUUUCAAGAGCCUCUUUAACCCUUUAGGGGCAUCUUUUUGGUAGACCAUAGCAGGAGGAUUUUCAGCAUUUCCCCACUCAACUAUAUCAGGUUCACUAUUGUCUUCUUGCAGCAUCUGUGACAAAGAAUGACG